rnacentral:piRNA from 1 species
AGGAUGUGGAAAGCCAUUUGGAGCGGGU